ACAAAUGAGAUGAAGCCUACUUUUAUUCCUGUUCCCAAUGCUCCCCCAUCUAAGAAUCACAAAAAAAGUAAACUAUCCUGUUGGAAAGAGGCCCUGCUUCUUUCACCAGGUUUGCAGUGCCACAGAUAGGUCAACAGUUUUUGACAAUGAGACACAUGCUGUAAUAAAGGAUGAGAUUCCGCAGCCACAUUCCUUAAUUAAUUCUUUUAUAAUCAU